UCCAAAUGAUCUGAUUGUGUGUAAGAAGUUACACCUGCCCUGUGCUGUAGCAGAAGCUGGAGCCCCUUUGCAGUUUAGCAUUGCUGAACUGUGCCUCGGAGUUUAUCACAGAAGAAUGGAGAUACUCUUAACUGUAAUGAUGCUCCCAGAGCUUUGUCCUUGUUGUUUGUGUCCCUAGAACCUUAGGCAGAAUGAUAUCUCUGCGUUAUGUGGCUGCUUGUCCAUUGUUUUUAUCCCAGGAAGAGUGUGAGCCUCGUUCAUGGGAAUGUUGCUGUUCCUUCCAGUGCAUGUCACUGCUGCAGAAGCCACAGAGAUGCAUUUGUAGAUAGGUAAGAUUUAAUAGAACCUAAUGAAGGCAGUGGACAUUUUCUUAUGCUCAGCUGUGCCUUAAUGGAGGAUUUCAAAUGUUUAAAUUCACAAGUGGCCACAGUAAAUUUCAAUCCACCAUUAUAAAGGAGGGAUCUUUAACUCCAGCUUCCUGAGCACAGACACAAUUUUAGGUAGAAGCUCAAUUUUAUCUGGUAGGAAUAAAAAGUAAAUAUCCUAUGCUUGACCUCUGUCAACUGAUUGGAGAGUUCCUGAGCAUGGAGCAUUUGCUGUGAAUUGUUCCCAUUUGCUGGAUUUGUCAUAGUGUCUUUGCUUAUUUGUGAUUUGUAUAAUGAGAAAAACUAGAAAGAUGCGGGUAAAUAGGUUAAAUAGUAUUGUUUAUCUCACACUUUUGCAUCUACAUUUUACAUUUCUUGGGUGAUGACUUUUAGUCUCUGUUUUUCUUUCUUUUGGAACAGCACAUGUAUUUGCAGAGGCUCCUGUUUUUCAAAAGCAGAUCCAUCAUAAGCAUAGGAAAUCUAUUAAAAAAUGUUUUAGGAAAAAAAAGUGAUAUGGCUGGAGAAAAUAUCUGGGCUUACUCUGAGAUCAGUGUUUAGGCGUUUUCUGUUUUACUGUCUUAGCAAUUUUUGCCAGUGUCACUUUAGCUUUAAGCCAUAUGAUUUUAUCAAUUUGACUUUAGCUUACUAAAAUAGUAAUAUGUGUAGAUAGAUAAAUACAUUCUAAAAUCAUCAAACCAUUUCUCCCAAGGUUCAAAAGUGAGUCAAGAAGUCAAUGACCUAAGACUUCCUUUUUUUCUAUAGUUUUUUUCCCCUGAAAUUAUUUAUGUAAUCAUUGUCUUUUUUGUGGCUGGUUUUUAAAAAAGUUGAAUCACUUUAAUUCCUUCUGAAACAACAAAACCUUAGGUAAAUACUAUAUGAAUAAUCUUUUUAUUGCUUUUUUUGAUCUUACUGAAUUAACAUAUUCUGUAAUGUGCUAAAGGAAGAGAAACAGGGAAUGCAGAAAAUUUUAUAGUCAGACUUGGUUUCAAUGCAGAUAUCUCACAGUACCAGUGACAUUGGCCCCUGUAACAUGAGUCUAGGGCCAAUAUUUAAGCUUUCUGUUCCAGGGGGAUUUUUUGAUGACAGCACUAUACUAGGAAAGAAAAGAGCAAUGCUUCCUUCCUUUGCACCACAUUUGUGUCUGCAUUGCUAAUAUGAACUAGCAGUGGGUCUUGGUGAGUUCUGCUGGCCCUUGUGCUCAGAUCUGUGAGAUGGAACAAGGUAAGCUUUUAAGGUAAAAGGGAAGUUUUAUGUGUGAAAUGAAGCUUUCUGUUUCUCAAAAAUCCUUUCAACCAUGAAAACUUUCCAACAGGUGUCUUGGAAAGCCGAAGCAUGCAAUUGCAGUUCCUGCAGAAGACAGUUCAGAAAAGAGAAAAAUCCAAACAAAAAUCACUAUGGCUCCCCAGCACAGUCAGCGUACCUCGAUGUGGUCACUUGGAUAUCUGCCUGUCACUUCGUGCACCUCUGUUGAACAUGGGUAUCUGCAGACUCCACACUGAGCACUGCUUAGCCCUGAGGAUGUGUUUUGCUUUCAAAGGAAGUGUGUGAAGAACGUUGGAUCACAAAGUACAGUCAGUGAAAGGUUCUCUGGGAUAUGAAGUGCUAGAAAAGCAUUCUGGGUACAAGCAAUCAAGGAAAGCUUCUCAGUCAACCUCUGGAUGUUAGGAGCCAGUGCCUAGGAUUUGCUGCAUCCAAGACAAGGUUCUCAUGUGCAUUUGCAACCACAUCAAGGACAUCACCACUGAAAAACUGUCAGCAGACCAUAGUGUGUGAAGACCUGUAUGAGCUGCAUCUUUUGACGUCUAUUCUGCUGUUAAAACAAAAUCUUUUACUUUCCUGACAUUACCAGAGAUACCAUUU